rnacentral:lncRNA from 1 species
GUACACUAUACCGAUUAAAAUGAUGUCUUACUUUAAGGAUUGUGACCACGAAUAGUGAAACUACAGCUCUUUUUUUUCAUGUCGCGCAGUAGUGGCAUAUUGGCCAGUGGCAAACAGUUUAACUGGCAAAUUCCAAACAUUUCCUGUAUCACAUUUUCAUCAGUUUUACAAAGAAAAUAAAUCAUAAAAUAGGGUUUCUUUUGAAUAAAUAGAAUAAAAACUAUGAAAUAGGCAUGAAUAAAGUUACUUUAAAUAGAUUUUGUCCCUAGUACUAUAUGAACUAAG